CAAUAGCGUAUAUUAAAGUUGUUGCGGUUAAAAAGCUCGUAGUUGGAUUUCUGCCGAGGACGACCGGUCCGCCCUCUGGGUGUGUAUCUGGCUCGACCUGGGCAUCUUCUUGGAGAACGUGGCUGCACUUGAUUGUGUGGUGCGGUAUCCAGGACUUUUACUUUGAGGAAAUUUGAGUGUUUCAAGCAGGCAUACGCCUUGAAAACGUUAGCAUGGAAUAAUAAGAUAGGACCUCGGUUCUAUUUUGUUGGUUUCUAGAUCUGAGGUAAUGAUUAAUAGGGAUAGUUGGGGGCAUUCGUAUUUAACUGUCAGAGGUGGAAUUCUCGGAUUUGUUAAAGACUAACUUAUGCGAAAGCAUUUGCCAAGGAUGUUUUCAUUAAUCAAGAACGAAAGUUAGGGGAUCAAAGACGAUCAGAUACCGU
rnacentral:rRNA from 1 species